rnacentral:rRNA from 1 species
AGUGAACGCUGGCGGCGUGCCUAAUACAUGCAAGUCGAACGAAGUGGAGCACGGGUGAGUAAUAUAUAGUUAAUCUGCCCUACACAGAGGAACAACAGUUGGCAACGACUGCUAAUACCUCCUAGUGUAGGAUGAGACUAUAUCGUAUCAGCUAGUUGGUAAGGUAAUGGCGUACCAAGGUGAUGACGCGUAACUGGUCUGAGAGGAUGAUCAGUCACAUUGGAAGGUCGACACGGGUGAGACUCAUACGAGAAGCAGAAGUAAGGAGUAUUGCACAAUGGGGGAAUCCCUGACGCGGCAACGGCGCGUGAAGGAUGACACUUUUCGGGGCGUAAACUCCUUUUAUCAGGAAAGCGGUACCUGAUGAAUAAGCACAGGCUAACUCCGUGCCAGCAGCCGCGGUAAUAC